GAUGAACGCUAGCGGGAGGCUUAAUACAUGCAAGUCGAGGGGCAGCAUGGGACUUCGGUCCUGAUGGCGACCGGCGCACGGGUGAGUAACGCGUACACGACCUACCUUUAAGUGGGGGAUAGCCUUGGGAAACUGAGAUUAAUACCCCAUGUGAUUGUGUUUAAUAAAGGGACACAAUUAAAGCUCCGGCGCUUAAAGAUGGGUGUGCGUCCCAUUAGCUAGUUGGUGAGGUAACGGCUCACCAAGGCGACGAUGGGUAGGGGGCGUGAGAGCGUGACCCCCCACACGGGUGCUGAGACACGGACCCG
rnacentral:rRNA from 1 species